GCGUUUGUAGUCCAACGAUUAGGAUAAUUCCCUUUUAAGCAAUAGACCCGGGUUCAACUCCCGGCAAACGCA
rfam:Ipomoea nil DNA, scaffold: scaffold1734, cultivar: Tokyo-kokei standard.